rnacentral:rRNA from 1 species
CUUAGCAGGGGAUAACAUUUGGAAACAGAUGCUAAUACCGUAUAACAAUGACAACCGCAUGGAUGUUAUUUAAAAGAUGGUUCUGCUAUCACUAAUAGAUGGACCCGCGGUGCAUUAGCUAGUUGGUAAGGUAAUGGCUUACCAAGGCGAUGAUGCAUAGCCCAGUUGAGAGACUGAUCGGCCACAAUGGGACUGAGACACGGUCCAUACUCCUACGGGAGGCAGCAGUAGGGAAUCUUCCACAAUGGGCGAAAGCCUGAUGGAGCAACGCCGCGUGUGUGAUGAAGGGUUUCGGCUCGUAAAACACUGUUGUAAGAGAAGAAUGACAUUGAGAGUAACU